AUGUGUGUGGCUUGACUGUGUGUGAAUAUUGCAUUUGCUUGAUGGUGUGGCUUGUAUAACUUGUGUUUUAUAUGUCACAAUUGAUUGUUGUUUAUUGAAUGUGAACAAACCUAACACUAUUCUUUUUUUCUGAACUUUUUUGUGAUUAUGUCUUAUGUGGAUAUCAUAUUCUUUUUUGUAUUACUGCUGUCCAGUCACUAGAAUAACACUUUUCUAAGUAUUUAUGGUACAGACAUGUGGAUCGGGACAUGUCACAUUGGCUCUUUGUUGUGUUGCUAAGGACACUGAUGGGUUGUGUUUGCAUACAACGCAGUCUGGACCAACAAAAUGGUCUCAUUGCCGCAAGCAAUGUCUAGCAAGGUGGAAAUAAAUGGGCAGAAAUAGCAAAAGUUCUUCCUAGAAGACAUUUGAACAUUGCAGGAAUCGAGUAUUUCUAUUUGUUCUCAGGUUCUUCUCACCUAUAGCUAGAGUCAAAGACGACAAACCAAGUGGAUUAUUGGACUUGCAAGAUAAACAGAAUCAUCGGUCAUCUGAAUCUUCUUUUCUAAUAUGACUAUUGAUGCUGCUCAUGAGGCUAGCCAUCGGCUUGGAAGUGAUGAGAGGCAAUCACUGUUGUCAACUUGAAACAUAUAAUCUUUUAGG